GAGUGUCCGAUCGCAGCUAGGUGGCAACACUCAGGUCUGCCGAGAAGUUCAUUAAACCCUCCCACCUAGAGGAAGGAGAAGUCGUAACAAGGUUUCCGUAGGUGAACCUGCGGAAGGAUCAUUGA
rnacentral:rRNA from 1 species